rnacentral:rRNA from 1 species
UACGUAGGGGGCAAGCGUUAUCCGGAUUUACUGGGUGUAAAGGGAGCGUAGACGGCAGUGCAAGUCUAGAGUGAAAGGCGGGGGCUCAACCCCCGGACUGCUCUGGAAACUGUACGGCUGGAGUGCAGGAGAGGUAAGUGGAAUUCCUAGUGUAGCGGUGAAAUGCGUAGAUAUUAGGAGGAACACCAGUGGCGAAGGCGGCUUACUGGACUGUAACUGACGUUGAGGCUCGAAAGCGUGGGGAGCAAACAGG